CCUGGCUCAGAUUGAGCGCUGGCGGCAGGCCUAACGCAUGCAAGUCGAGCGGAAACGACAUAAUAGAAGCUUCGGUGGACAUUAUGGGCGUCGAGCGGCGGACGGGUGAGUAAUGCUUAGGAAUUUGCCCAGUCGAGGGGGAUAACUAUUGGAAACGAUAGCUAAUACCGCAUACGCCCUACGGGGGAAAGAGGGGGACCUUCGGGCCUCUUGCGAUUGGAUAAGCCUAAGUGAGAUUAGCUAGUUGGUGAGGUAAGAGCUCACCAAGGCGACGAUCUCUAGCUGGUCUGAGAGGAUGAUCAGCCACACUGGGACUGAGACACGGCCCAGACUCCUACGGGAGGCAGCAGUGGGGAAUAUUGCACAAUGGGGGAAACCCUGAUGCAGCCAUGCCGCGUGUGUGAAGAAGGCCUUCGGGUUGUAAAGCACUUUCAGCAGUGAGGAAGAUGUGUAGAUUAAUACUCUGCACAUUUGACGUUAGCUGCAGAAGAAGCACCGGCUAACUCCGUGCCAGCAGCCGCGGUAAUACGGAGGGUGCGAGCGUUAAUCGGAAUUACUGGGCGUAAAGCGCAUGCAGGUGGUUUGUUAAGUCAGAUGUGAAAGCCCGGGGCUCAACCUCGGAAGGUCAUUUGAAACUGGCAAGCUAGAGUACUGUAGAGGGGGGUAGAAUUUCAGGUGUAGCGGUGAAAUGCGUAGAGAUCUGAAGGAAUACCGGUGGCGAAGGCGGCCCCCUGGACAGAUACUGACACUCAGAUGCGAAAGCGUGGGGAGCAAACAGGAUUAGAUACCCUGGUAGUCCACGCCGUAAACGAUGUCUACUUGGAGGUUGUUCCCUUGAGGAGUGGCUUUCGGAGCUAACGCGUUAAGUAGACCGCCUGGGGAGUACGGUCGCAAGAUUAAAACUCAAAUGAAUUGACGGGGGCCCGCACAAGCGGUGGAGCAUGUGGUUUAAUUCGAUGCAACGCGAAGAACCUUACCUACUCUUGACAUCCAGAGAAGCCGGAAGAGAUUCUGGUGUGCCUUCGGGAGCUCUGAGACAGGUGCUGCAUGGCUGUCGUCAGCUCGUGUUGUGAAAUGUUGGGUUAAGUCCCGCAACGAGCGCAACCCUUAUCCUUAAUUGCCUGCACUUCGGGUGGGAACUUUGGGGAGACUGCCGGUGAUAAACCGGAGGAAGGUGGGGGCGACGUCAAGUCAUCAUGGCCCUUACGAGUAGGGCUACACACGUGCUACAAUGGCGUAUACAGAGGGCAGCUAGCUAGCGAUAGUGAGCGAAUCCCAAAAAGUGCGUCGUAGUCCGGAUCGGAGUCUGCAACUCGACUCCGUGAAGUCGGAAUCGCUAGUAAUCGUGGAUCAGAAUGCCACGGUGAAUACGUUCCCGGGCCUUGUACACACCGCCCGUCACACCAUGGGAGUGGGCUGCAAAAGAAGUAGGUAGUUUAACCUUUUGGGGGACGCUUACCACUUUGUGGUUCAUGACUGGGGUGAAGUCGUAACA
rnacentral:rRNA from 1 species